rnacentral:lncRNA from 1 species
CCGCCGGCGUCCAGACCCCCUCCACGCCAUCCCCAUCUCGCCGGAGACCUGCUCCAAGUCUGGCCGCCCUCCAAACAGGUGCCUCUCCUCUCCCGGCUUCGCUUCCUCCAUUGUCGCCUCGCACUGUUGCUUCCCCGUCAGAUGCAGCACAGGUCAUGGGUGUACAUCUGUACAUCCAAAAUUUUCUGCAGAAAAUCAGUUUAUAUAGGUAUAUGACAAAAAAUACUGCAUGUCGUCAGUACGCGGAGACAGAGGCCAAGGAUGACAGGCAACUCUUGGAGGAGGACACCUCAAAUCAGUCUGGGAAGUUGUCGUCGUUUUCCUCGGGCAGCAAUGCAAAUUAUUGUAAUGAUACUUAUCAACGUUUUUAUUUGGUUGUGCAGUACUCGCUAGGUGCUUGACGAAAUUCCCAUAUGAUGCAUGUGGCAAGGUUCCUAGAGGAUAAUGUAGAUUAAUGAUUCCAUGGAGAGCUCCCAGAAUCUUCAAUUGGAGGCAAUUAAAGACGGACCUCACCGGAUUGGAUUUGUCUAGCAUUCCAGCUAAGUUUCAAGGUAAGCAAGACGUUGGUCCCUUUAGCUUCCUCCAAUGAGUUGAUCUUCUGAAACUGAACAAAAACAUAAAUGCAUUGACAGAGCUAUCCGUUUAAAUGUGUACAAGUUUUUUUUUCUAUUUGAUUCGUUUAUAUAUUUAGAAAUUAUGUUGUAAAUAACCUAUUGUUGAUGGUGUCUGUUCUCCUUUCUGAAAAAUUCCAAGAAUAAGCUCUCAUGUUCAGUAAAUGCAAUUCGGUUGAUUAGGUUAAUAGGAUUUCAUUUUACAUAAAUUUCAUUGUUCGUUCUGCACAGGGACACAAACUACAGUGUAGUGAUUCAUUGAAUAAUCUGCAUCUUAAUACUGCCUAUUUUCUGGGAUCUCAACUCUCAUGGCAGAAUUAUCAUGUUGACGAGGAAAAGAGUUGGUUACUUAUGGUUGCAGGAUGUCAGUUGAAGCUCAUGCUAUCAUCCACGAAGCGUUUGCUCAGUCAUAAGUUGUCGUUUCUUUCUAACCAUUUGCCGACUCGGUUACGCUGGCACACCAUGUUCAUGCAGAAAGAAACCUGUAACAUGUGUUAUAAUAGUUAGCCCUUUGUGAAAUUGUUAACUUCACUGUAACUUGUGGGAUCAUAUAGAAGCAAGACGCAUGUUGGUCCUGAUUGAAGUUCCUUCGAUAGAAAAGAUUUUGUAGCUCUGAAUGUUGCUUACUUGGCUAUAUACCAUGAGAACUUAAUCAAGUGUUCUGAUUUUUCCGCAAAACUAGGUCACAAAACUAAUAUUAAUCUCCUUUGAAUACUAAAUCCUUUUUCUUUGCUCUGAAUUUUUUUUCUUGCCUUUUGUUGAUUGUACAAGAGAUCUCCUGGUCGAAGUUUACUUAUAAAGCGUGUUUCACUUAUGCAGGUAGCUUUAGGACUCCAUCCAAACAAUCACUGAUUAGUGGGUAGUAGGCAUGCAGUUUCAGUUAAACCGAAGCUUAAUCCACAUACAUUGUUCACUGGAGGUAUCCGUGCCAUUACACUCAUCCCUCUGUGUGAGUGACACAACUAUGUACUGCUAUAAAAACACUGGAGUGCCCAACAAUAUCUUAUAAUGGCUUUGGUGGCAGUAUGAGGCCUGGGAUAAUGUUUACUUGUGAUUCACAAAAUGGAAGUAUGUGCUAUAUCUUUGUAUGUAUGUCUUCUUUUCUCUUAUCCUCAAAGGCUUUUUGUUUCUAUUUUUUCCAUACAAGACCAAAUGCUUCUCUUCUUUGUUUGAAGGAAAUUAAGGAAACAUGUCACGUUCAUUGUCGCCUGGUUUAUGGUAACUGGUGUUGCCCCCUCCCUUGGAAUCUCUCAGAUCUAUGGCAUAGCCAGUUCUCCAUCCCGCAGUUUUCGCAUGUUGCAACGCAGUGGCUCUUUUGUAG